rnacentral:rRNA from 1 species
UACGUAGGGGGCAAGCGUUGUCCGGAUUUACUGGGCGUAAAGAGCGUGUAGGCGGCCAGGCAGGUCCGUUGUGAAAACUAGAGGCUCAACCUCUAGACGUCGACGGAAACCGCUUGGCUAGAGUCCGGAAGAGGAGAGUGGAAUUCCUGGUGUAGCGGUGAAAUGCGCAGAUAUCAGGAAGAACACCAAUGGCGAAGGCAGCUCUCUGGGACGGUACUGACGCUGAGACGCGAAAGCGUGGGGAGCGAACAGGAUUAGAAACCCCCGUAGUCC